GACGAACGCUGGCGGCGUGCUUAAUACAUGCAAGUCGAACGGUGAAGCUCCAGCUUGCUGGCGCGGAUCAGAGGCGAACGGGUGAGUAAAACGCGAGGAACAUGCACCUGUAACUGGAAUAAGAGUUGGAAACGGCGUAGAAAACUGGAUACGAGAAGUGUAAGCAUGGGCUUUUUCUGUAAAGUUCUUCGGUUCGGGAUGGGCUCGAUGCCUAUCCGCUUGUUGGUGAGGUAAUGGAUGACAAAGGCGACGAAGGGUAGCCGGCCUUAGAGGUCGACCGGCCACACUGGGACUGAGACACGGCCCAGAAUCCUACGUGAGGCAGCAGUGGGGAAUAUUGCGCAAUGGGCGAGAGCCAGAUGCAGCGACGCCGCGUUAGGGAUGACGUCCUUCGAGUUGUAAACCUCUUUCAGCAGGGAAGAAGCGAAAGUGACGGUACCUGCAGAGGAAGCACCGGCUAACUACGUG
rnacentral:rRNA from 1 species